UACGUAGGGUGCGAGCGUUGUCCGGAAUUACUGGGCGUAAAGAGCUCGUAGGUGGUUUGUCGCGUUGUUCGUGAAAUCUCACGGCUUAACUGUGAGCGUGCGGGCGAUACGGGCAGACUAGAGUACUGCAGGGGAGACUGGAAUUCCUGGUGUAGCGGUGAAAUGCGCAGAUAUUAGGAGGAACACCGGUGGCGAAGGCGGGUCUCUGGGCCGAUACUGACGCUGAGGAGCGAAAGCGUGGGGAGCGAACAGG
rnacentral:rRNA from 1 species